AUACGGAGGGUGCAAGCGUUAUUCGGAAUCACUGGGCGUAAAGGACACGUAGGCGGGAAGCCAAGUCUGAUGUGAAAUCCUACAGCUUAACUGUAGAACUGCAUUGGAAACUGGUUACCUAGAGUAUGGGAGGGGGAGAUGGAAUUAGUGGUGUAGGGGUAAAAUCCGUAGAUAUCACUAGGAAUACCUAAAGCGAAGGCGAUCUCCUGGAACAUUACUGACGCUAAGGUGUGAAAGCGUGGGGAGCAAACGGGAUUAGAAACCCCAGUAGUCC
rnacentral:rRNA from 1 species